CUUGAGUCUUCUGUAUUCUUCACUCUUGAGGUUCUCGUUUGUGUAAGACGUUUCUUUUUUGAUUGACAGGCCCAGUGUGCUGCUCUGAUGUGUUUGGCUAUUCAGGAGGAAGUGUCACUAUAAUACCCGAUCUGCAAUGGGAUGUAAAUAAUACGAGAUAUAUUUGUAAGAUGGAACAAAGUGGCUGCCUAAAUAUAAUCAGGGACCAGACUCUGAGCAAGUCUGUUUUUAGUGGAAGAUUCGAGAUGUAUUCAAAUACAGCAGGCAACUUUAUAGCGAUGAUCAGAGAGCUAAACCCACAGGACUCUGCCGUUUACAGAUUUGGAGUUGGGAAUGAAAAGCAUAAGGACGUUGAGCUGACCGUUCAGAGUGGUGAGACAAUUUGACCUGUUGAAGCUCUUGGGUUUCUAAAAUAUUUAAGAAAAUAACGAUAUAUAUAAAUGAGACAUUGAUCCCAAACACACUCUUGUUUAAUCAGCUAAUGAAUAAACCAUAUGGUUGUUUAUAUAACUGACAGAUUCUUGUUGUGGGGGAAUUAAAAGAAUGAAAGCUUAUCUGGGAGAGACGGUCACCUUCAAAUGUAGCUAUCCAUAUGAGUUCAAGACAAACAACAAGCGGUUAAUCAACCUCAACAAUCAAACUACUGUUAAAGUGAUAAUUUACACUCGAAAAGAGGCUCAGAAAAAGCACAAUGGCAGAUUCUCCAUCGUUGAUGACAGAAGCUCUAACGUCUUCAGUGUGAACAUCAGUGAUGUGAGAGAAGAUGAUGGAGGAGUUUAUCUGUGUGGAGUGAAGAGGACAGAGAAGUCAGUGGGUUAUUACAACUAUUUCAAAGAGAUUCAACUACGAGUUACUGAAAAACCAACUGCACUACCAGAAAGUCCAAGCACAACUAUAGACCCAACUACAGCUACAACCUACUGGAGCAAAUCAGCAGCACCAGCAGAAGCAGAAACAUCUGAUGAAGAACAUCUCAGUUCCUCUGUCAUCAUCACUGUAUUUGUCUGUGUGGCUCUGUUGCUGAUUGGAGGAUCAGCACUGAUCGUCUACAAACUGAGGAACCACAGGAUACAGGACUCUGCCUCGACUGGCCAGAGAACAGACAAAAGUAAAGUG
ensembl:lncRNA